UUCCGAUGCAAGGUGGUAGGCGUUUCCAGGGACUUAAAGACCUGGAUAGCCGAGAACUGAUGCCGAAGGGACCUUCGGGUUCCGCAAAGGGAUUAAGAGCACACUGCCGAGAAAAUCUUCGCAGGUGAAGACAAACAUUGACCGUACCGCAAUCCGACACAGGUAGGCGAGGCGAGAAGCCUAAGGUGCUCGAGUGAUUUACGGAGAAGGAACUCGGCAAAAUUACCCCGUAACUUCGGGAUAAGGGGUGCCGGUUGUACGUGAGGCUGUACAGGCCAAGCGGAAUCCGGUCGCAGAGAAUCGCGUCAAGCGACUGUUUAGCAAAAACACAGGUGCCUGCCAAAGCGUAUUCCAAGCUGACGUAUAGGCACUGACGCCUGCCCGGUGCCGGAAGGUUAAAGCGAGGGGUUAGCGACUUCGGUUGCGAAGCUCUGAACUGAAGCCCCGGUAAACGGCGGCCGUAACGAUAACGGUCCUAAGGUAGCGAAAUUCCUUGUCGGGUAAGUUCCGACCUGCACGAAUGGCGUAACGACUUGACGGCUGUCUCCUCCGUAAGCUCGGCGAAACUGCAGUAUCGGUGAGGAUUCCGAUUUCCCGCUACAGGACAAAAAGACCCCGUGCACCUUUACUAUAGCCUGCCAUUGGACGUCGACUAGACAUGCGUAGCAUAGGUGGAAGCCGUUGAUCCUUCGGUUUUGGCCGGAGGGGAGGCAACAGUGAAAUACCACCCUUGUUUUGUUAACGUCCUCACUCGGUCGGCAACACCGACGAGGACCGUGGCUGGUGGGUAGUUUGACUGGGGCGGUCGCCUCCUAGAGAGUAGCGGAGGCGCGCAAUGGUGCCCUCAGUGCGGUCGGUAAUCGCACGUAGAGCGCAAAAGCAGAAGGGCGCCUGACAGUGAGAGCGACGGCUCGAACUGGGACGAAAGUCGGCUUUAGUGAUCCGGUGGUACCGUGUGGACGGGCCAUCGCUUAACGGAUAAAAGGUACGCUGGGGAUAACAGGCUUAUCGCGCCCGAGAGUUCACAUCGACGGCGCGGUUUGGCACCUCGAUGUCGGCUUGUCACAUCCUGGGGCUGGAGAAGGUCCCAAGGGUCCGGCUGUUCGCCGGUUAAAGUGGCACAUGAGCUGGGUUCAGAACGUCGUGAGACAGUUCGGUCUGUAUCCGUAGUGGGCGUGGGAAUGUUGAGGGAGGCCGACCUUAGUACGAGAGGACCGGGUUGGACGGACCGCUCGUGUCCCGGCUGUCACGCCAGUGGCAACGCCGGUUAGCGAUGUCCGGCAGGGAUAACCGCUGAAAGCAUCUAAGUGGGAAACCCGUCCCAAGAUCAACAUUCCUGGGUCGCAAGACCCCUAAAGGGCCGUGGAAGACUACCACGUUGAUAGGAGGCAGGUGUAAGGCGCGCAAGCGCUUCAGCCGAGCCUUGCUAAUCGCCCGUGCAGCUUGAUCUC
rnacentral:rRNA from 1 species